GCGGCGGACGGGUUAGUAACGCGUGGGAACGUACCCUUCUCUAAGGAAUAGUCUCGGGAAACUGGGGGUAAUACCUUAUACGCCCUUCGGGGGAAAGAUUUAUCGGAGAAGGAUCGGCCCGCGUUAGAUUAGAUAGUUGGUGGGGUAAUGGCCUACCAAGUCUACGAUCUAUAGCUGGUUUUAGAGGAUGAUCAGCAACACUGGGACUGAGACACGGCCCAGACUCCUACGGGAGGCAGCAGUGGGGAAUCUUAGACAAUGGGCGCAAGCCUGAUCUAGCCAUGCCGCGUGAGUGAUGAAGGUCUUAGGAUCGUAAAGCUCUUUCGCCAGGGAUGAUAAUGACAGUACCUGGUAAAGAAACCCCGGCUAACUCCGUGCCAGCAGCCGCGGUAAUACGGAGGGGGUUAGCGUUGUUCGGAAUUACUGGGCGUAAAGCGUACGUAGGCGGAUUAGCAAGUAUGGGGUGAAAUCCCGGGGCUCAACCCCGGAACUGCCUCAUAAACUGUUAGUCUAGAGUUCGAGAGAGGUGAGUGGAAUUCCGAGUGUAGAGGUGAAAU
rnacentral:rRNA from 1 species